AGUGAGAUUGCUGGAUCAUAUGGUGUUUCUAUUUUUAAGUUUUUGAGAAAUCUCCAUAUUGUUUUCCAUAAUGAUUGUACUAAUUUACAUUUCCACUAAUAGU
rnacentral:pre_miRNA from 1 species